rnacentral:rRNA from 1 species
GACGAACGCUGGCGGCGUGCCUAAUACAUGCAAGUAGAACGCUGAAGGAGGAGCUUGCUUCUCUGGAUGAGUUGCGAACGGGUGAGUAACGCGUAGGUAACCUGCCUGGUAGCGGGGGAUAACUAUUGGAAACGAUAGCUAAUACCGCAUAAUAGUAGAUGUUGCAUGACAUUUGCUUAAAAGGUGCAAUUGCAUCACUACCAGAUGGACCUGCGUUGUAUUAGCUAGUUGGUGAGGUAACGGCUCACCAAGGCGACGAUACAUAGCCGACCUGAGAGGGUGAUCGGCCACACUGGGACUGAGACACGGCCCAGACGCCUACGGGAGGCAGCAGUAGGGAAUCUUCGGCAAUGGACGGAAGUCUGACCGAGCAACGCCGCGUGAGUGAAGAAGGUUUUCGGAUCGUAAAGCUCUGUUGUAAGAGAAGAACGAGUGUGAGAGUGGAAAGUUCACACUGUGACGGUAUCUUACCAGAAAGGGACGGCUAACUACGUG